rnacentral:rRNA from 1 species
UACGUAGGGGGCAAGCGUUGUCCGGAAUUAUUGGGCGUAAAGAGCUCGUAGGCGGUGUGUCACGUCGGCCGUGAAAACCUGCAGCUUAACUGUGGGCGUGCGGUCGAUACGGGCAUCACUGGAGUUCGGUAGGGGAGACUGGAAUUCCUGGUGUAGCGGUGAAAUGCGCAGAUAUCAGGAGGAACACCGGUGGCGAAGGCGGGUCUCUGGGCCGUAACUGACGCUGAGGAGCGAAAGCGUGGGGAGCGAACAGG